UACGUAGGGGGCUAGCGUUGCUCGGAAUCACUGGGCGUAAAGGGUGCGUAGGCGGGUCUUUUAAGUCAGGGGUGAAAUCCUGGAGCUCAACUCCAGAACUGCCUUUGAUACUGAGGAUCUUGAGUUCGGGAGAGGUGAGUGGAACUGCGAGUGUAGAGGUGAAAUUCGUAGAUAUUCGCAAGAACACCAGUGGCGAAGGCGGCUCACUGGCCCGAUACUGACGCUGAGGCACGAAAGCGUGGGGAGCAAACAGG
rnacentral:rRNA from 1 species